CCUACGGGUGGCAGCAGUGGGGAAUAUUGGGCAAUGGGCGCAAGCCUGAACCAGCAACGCCGCGUGAAGGAAGAAGGCUUUCGGGUUGUAAACUUCUUUUAUCAGGGACGUAACAUAUGACGGUACCUGAUGAAUAAGCCUCCGCUAACUACGUGCCAGCAGCCGCGGUAAUACGGAGGUGGCAAGCGUUAUCCGGAUUUACUGGGUGUAAGGGGAGCGUAGACGGCAGGACAAGUCUGGUGUGAAAUGCCGGGGCUUAACCCCGAAACUGCUUUGGAAACUGGGCGGCUAGAGUUCAGGAGAGGUAAGUGGAAUUCCUAGUGUAGCGGUGAAAUGCGUAGAUAUUAGGAGGAACACCAGUGGCGAAGGCAGCUUACUAGACUGUAACUGACAUUGAGGCUCGAAAGCGUGGGGAGCAAACAGGAUUAGAUACCCGAGUAGUC
rnacentral:rRNA from 1 species